UUCGUAGGUGGCCAACUAAGUCAGACGUGAAAUCCCUCAGCUUAACUGGGGAACUGCGUCUGAUACUGGUGUGGCUUGAGUGCAGGAGAGGAACGCGGAAUUCCAGGUGUAGCGGUGAAAUGCGUAGAUAUCUGGAGGAACACCGGUGGCGAAGGCGGCGUUCUGGACUGCAACUGACACUGAGGAACGAAAGCCAGGGGAGCAAACG
rnacentral:rRNA from 1 species